UAAGAUGCCUGAACUUAAAGGAUUAUUUUGAUAGAAUAAAUUAUGUAGAACCUUCUACUCUUAUU
rnacentral:tRNA from 1 species